UUCAGAACAUUCUAGAGAGAGAAAGGGAGGAGAAAUUUAGAGAGAAAUCAAUUUUGACCAAAAUCUAAGCCCUGAAUCGCGAAGCUCAUUAAGAGAAAAGUGUUGUACGUCGCGUUGCCUUCAAUUUGAGCUAAAAAUCAGCCAAGAAGAAGAUUGUUGAAGUGGUUGCUGCAUACUUAAGAUUUUGGAGGAAAUGGGAUUCGAAUUUGGAUAAGCGUAAAGGGCAAGUAAGGUACACCUAGAUGAGUUGAAGUUAUUACAGAAGAUGUUCCAGCGGAGUUGACAAGCUCCAUUUGCUCCCGGAGUGUUGCCGAGUCAGAGUUUAUAUAUGUAUGUUAUGAAUUCUGGAUUUAUCUUAGAGACUUUGCAGACAGAGUCGUGGGUAUUGGUUAUCAGUCUGUAAGCGGCUCCAUCAGCCGAUAUGUCAUUCUGUGUUAUGUAGUAAAUUUUAUAUAACUACGGAUUUUGC